UACGUACCUACGCGUGCGUGCAACUCUGCGUGACGUUGCUCUGCGCACGUAUAGUAAGUUGCUGGUAAAUAUGGUCUCUGAUAAAUAAACUGCGUACGUAUACGUACGAGAGCCCGGUUUGCACUUUGCACAGUGGUGAUCUUGGAGAACCCACCCCUCUGUGUUCUUGUAUGUAAUUAUGUAUAAAUACCCCACUUUAUAUGUGUUCUCCAUGUACUGUAUGUAUCAAUUUCCAUGUUUACUGUUAUGGGAAUAUGUUAUUGUGCAAUAAAAUCACAGAGGAAUAUAGCCAAAGUUCUACACGGUGCACUUAAUUCCUUCUGUAUGCGAGUAUUUGACAAAACCCUACCACAUUAGGGGUUGCCGUCCCACAAAACUACCACAUUCAAAAAAGUGACUGAUAACUAUCAAUUUUUUUAAUUUUGUGACAAAAACUACCAUUUUUGAAAAAUUGUCAGUUUAGACGAUUUAAACACGUUUAUGACAUGCGGGACCCACCUAUCAGGGCCGACGUGGCGACAAAGUCAACUCCGUUUAUUUUGACCGUUAAGCUGACCGUUAUGACAGGUGGGGCCCACACAUCAUUCUUCUUCUUCCUCUCUCUAUCUUUCUUUGGCAUUUUACCAAACACGUCUUGUGCAUGGGAGGGAAGCAGGUUAACUCCGGUGACGCGCCCGCCGUGAAGAUGCCCCCGCUGCUCCUGACUGAGGAAGAUGGUCCACAGGACGCCCCAUCGCACCCAGGACGACAGCGAGGUGCGCGCCUCACCUGCCGGAGUGCUUCGCCAAGGUGCUCGCGCUGCAAGAGUUGCUCGCGCACUCGGCCGAGCCUCGUGGUAGGUGGGAGCCUCGAUGUCGCGUUCCAGCGGAAGGGGAGGAGGGUGUUGCGGAGCUCCGGCUCACAGCGGUCGUGCAGGAGGCGAGAGCGAGGCCGGAGACGGGUGCUGCUGCUUGCUGCCGCUGCUACUGCUCCUAUGCUGGAGGAUGUCGUGGUGGUCUUUUUGGAGGUGGCAGCGAAGGACACGGCUCUGAUGGCCGAAAACACGGCAGUGGCCUGCGGCCUGCGGCUCGGUGGCGUGGGCUCGGAGUUUGAGGAGCGACUCCUGGAAUACGCCGUGCGCGUCGGAGAGAUGCAGGAAGCCGUCGAUGAGGCAGUCGACGGUGUUUGACCCGCUAUGUAGUGCGGCGAGGGCUCCGAGAUGAGCAGGAGCUCGGCGAGCACGGCGAGGCGGUCGAGGCCCGUGGUGCUGUUGCUUGCAGCCGCUGCUGCUGCUCCUUGCCGCUGACCACGAGCUCUAGCUCGAAGGGAGGGCGGCGGCAGCAGGGCCUAGAGCUUGCAUCACCUCGGCUUUGCGUGCAGCUGCGCGGGCUUCUCCUCUGGCACCCUCUGGCAUGGAAGGCCACCGGAGUGCAGGGCGACAAAGGCCACCAGAGCAUGAGGGGGCGGCUGGGCGCCGGCUGAAAGCUGCACAGGAUGAUGCAUAGGAGGUGUUUGGAAAAAUGCCAAAGAAAGAUAGACAGAGGAAGAAGAAGAAUGACGUGUGGGCCCCACUUGUCAUAACGGUCAAAAUAAAUAGAGUUCGUGGCCCCACGACAACCCCUAAUGUGGUAGUUUUUUUGUCAAAUACCCUCUGUAUGCCGUAUUUCAAUGCUGCAAAGAAAAUAGAGGAAAAUAAC
rnacentral:lncRNA from 1 species